rnacentral:rRNA from 1 species
UACGGAGGGUGCAAGCGUUGUCCGGAAUCACUGGGCGUAAAGGGCGCGUGAGGCGGCCCGGUAAGUAGGGGGUGAAAUCCUGCGGCUUAACCGCAGGGCUGCCUUCCUAAACUGUCGGGCUCGAGCACGGUAGAGGCAGAUGGAAUUCCCGGUGUAGCGGUGGAAUGGCGUAGAGAUCGGGAAGAACAUCGAGUGGACGAAGGCGGUCUGCUGGGCCGUUGCUGA